UUCACGUACUGGAUCUUGAGGUAAACGAUGCCAUGAAA
rnacentral:sRNA from 1 species